GACCAUGGCGGCCUCUGGGGAGGGCAGGCGUCGCCUCCUCACGUUGGGGCGCCCGCCGCUCGGCCUGGAAGAAGGGCGCAGCCCCGAGCUCGGUUUGCGUCUUCAAGAGACGCUGGGCGCCCCCGUGCUUCUCUUUGGCCACCUUGCCAGGCAGCAGCCACGGUGGACAUAGGAGCCCUGAGAGAGAAUCAACUAAACCAGAGCACAGAUCAAAUUACAAGAUUCUACAUUCAAUUCCCUACCUUGCUUUCUUGGUAACACAGGAUGAAUGCCUUCAGUUGUGGUAAAAACGAUGCCAGAUAUUCCACAAAGCGCUGUAUUAAUUUGACAACAAGCAAUUAAAAUUACAAAAACUAAUUAGGAGAAGAAAAUACAUUGCUGAUGAAACCAGGAAACCUACCUACAGGCUUCACCAGGUCUCCAUCCUUGAGCUUGGCUUCAUGGUCAUAAGAUGGUAGUUGCACCUUUGGGCAUGCAGCCACAGUUCAGGUAGAAAGGAGGAGUGGCAUGGGGCAAAUCGGCCCCUUUUUUCUCAAGAAAUGAAAGCUGUCUCUGAAGCCAUUACUCAAUCGACUUCUUCGUUGGCCAAAACGAUGACACAUAUCUACCUCUAACACCAAGUGAGUCCAGGAAAAAAAUCCUGUACCUGCUUGUCUCUCUGAGGCUCAAAGUAUAGCCAGAGGGCUGAGCAGCAGCUGAGCAUCUGCCUUCUCCUUGAAAUUCAGGGUCAGCAGGAGGACAGACCCACAAGAACACUCAGAAGGGGAGAUAGAUCUUUGCAAGGCAGACAGAAGAACAAAUAUUAAGCAAGAAAACGUGUACAUGUAUGCGACUGAAAAGUUACAUAUCACCAGAGCUCCCAUGGUUCUCUCCUUUUGCCCACAGGUAGAGCCUGGGACUGCUUUCAGAAAAAAACAAUGGUUAUCAAGGCACUUGGGAAGCUCAGUUGGUUAAGUACCUGACGUUAGAUCUCAGCUUGAGUCUGAUCUCAGUCAGGAUCGUGAGUUCAAGCUUUGCACCAGUAUGGAGCCUAGUAAAAAAAUAAAUAAUAAAAAUAAAAUAAUUAAGGAAAGAAAAAACAAUAGUUACCUAAAUUCUAAACUAUUCUUGUCAUCCUCAACCUUCCCAAAGAAGUCAUCUCCUUACCUGCCCCACCCUUAGGCUCUAAUUUCUGUCUUGCUGUGUUUUUAGUUCUUCAUAGGACUGUUUCCAAGACUGAAAUGAACUAUCCUUCUCUGAAAUGUUUCUACUGUUGACAAGUGUCAUCUCUGUACUCCUUGCCUCUCUGUUCCACCCUUCAGGUAAAAGGUGGAGAGAGAGCAGGAGGAGGGGGAGAGUCAGAGGGAGAAGUAGAUGCCCUGCUGAGCAUGGAGUCCCACUCAGGCCUCAUCCCAGGACCCUGAGAUCUUGAGCAGAAACCAAGAGUUGGAUGCUUAACCGACUGAGCCACCCAGGCAUUCCAAUGAGUCAUCUUUGAUUCCUCUUUUCUCUCAGUCCCCCAACAGCCAAUCCAUUGUUGGGUCCAGUUGUCUCAGCCACCAGAAUACACUCUGACUCAUAAUCUGUGCACUUCUUGCCAUUCCUGUUGUUAUUGUCCCCAUGUAAGCUACCAUCCCCUUUGGCCUGGUUACCGAAUUCCGUGCUGAUACUUUUCCCUUUCAUCCAGUUUUUGACGGAUGGUGGAAGUGGUCUUUUAUUUUUUAUUUAUUUUUUUUUAAAGAAGACUAUUUUUUUUAAAGAUUUAUUUAUUUAUUCAGUCAGAGAGA